rnacentral:tmRNA from 1 species
UGUAAGAAUGUAGGAAUUUCGGACGCGGGUUCAACUCCCGCCAGCUCCACCA